UUGUAUCAAUGGAAGAAAAAAAAAAUUGGUGCAGUUAUAGUAAUUGCCAAGGGAGAUUUCAUGGCACAAAUUGGACAAAGAAAACAAAUGAUAUCCUAUCAUUGAAGUAUACUAAGGCUAAAACCCUUUAGUGUAUUUUUCUUUUCAGAAGCUAGAAGAAAGGCCAAGCAUUGGAGUUAGACUAGAUGCGUUUACAAUUGUUCGAAUCCUUAAUAACGAGAUGACGUGGCGAAUGAGGAAGUAGCACGUAGCAUCACAAGUCAUGGAAAAACGACAAAGUAUUGAAAAAAGACCGAUGAGCAAAAAAUAAUAAGUCCAUGACCUAUAAGGAAGUCGAUCAGGCCUAAACCCCCUAGGGGUGGUCGGGCCACCCUAUUCUUCAUAGGGUGGUCGGCCUAAACUCCCAAAUACACUUCACUAGAUAAAGUUCACGCUCGUUCAAGCCGAGAUCAACAUGCCUAACACCCAGAAGAUCAACAGGCCUAGCACCAAGAGGAUCAACAGGCCUAGCACCAAGAGGAUCAACAGGUUUAGUACCCAGAGGGUCAUCAUGCCUAGCACCCAAGCUCUAAGGGGUCAUCGAGCCUAGCACCUAAGUCUCAUAGACCAACUGAGACUUAGCGUUUCCCCAAAGGUUUCAAUCGUGCAUCGUCAACCACAAUCCAGAUAAACAAUGAGAAGACCCACGAUCUCAUAACAUUGGGAGGUGGACAGAUAUCUCCACUACCCAAUAAUCGUGUAACCACGAUCUCCAGUAUUACUGAUCAUGUAAUAGCCCAUCGAUACUAUAAAUAAAGGACCCAUGGCUCUUUACUUUUGGGGAGUUGGUUUCUGGGGGAUCUUUGGACGAUUUUUAGAUGGAUAUUUUCUGGGGAGAGACUCUGGGAAAAUUGCUGACGAGUGAACUCUUCAGGUCAUUUGUAUAAUUGUCUAUUGAGCGAUUCAAUACUAAAGACUAAGUGGAUUAUGUUAUUAUUGUUCAUCAGAACAGGGCUGAACCACUAUAAAUUUCUGUGUGUUUGUUUAAGAUAUUUGUACUCUGUCGUAUAUUAUAUUUAUUUUGUUCAAAAGGUGUCGUAUACUGUACAUACGACCGUUGGCCAAUUUCACAGGUCAACAUUAUAUAUGGUGAUUCUAGUUUUAAAAUUA